rnacentral:ncRNA from 1 species
UACCACGGGUAACCAGGAGCCCACGGAACUUGUUCCGUCCUGGUUAGUUGGUGCGGCCCUUCGGGGAGUAUCGUGGUGGUUGUGGUUUAACACCCAAAUGCGGGUAGAGCAUCGCUCGACGUGGAGUUGCGUCAUACAACCGGGUUCCGUGACCCAGAUUACGGAAGAGGCUUAGAUAGUCCUCGUGCCAAACCAAGGUAGAAGUCACAACCAAACAGUCGUGUCUUUAAUUGGUACCUGCGGAAUUGUUCCAAGGGGGCGGUGAUUGACGCUUGAAUUAAUCCUAUACUAGGAACCGUGAGAUUAAGCCAUCGCGGCAGGUGCUCACGUUAAGCCCACUGACUUUCAUGUCCCUAUCUACUAUCUAGCGAAACCACAGCCAAGGGAACGGGCUUGGAAUAAUUAGCGGGGAAAGAAGACCCUUUUGAGCUUGACUCUAAUCUGGCAGUGUAAGGAGACAUAAGAGGUGUAGAAUAAGUGGGAGAUAUUAGACUUCGGUUUGGUAUCGACAAUGAAAUACCACUACUCUUAUUGUUUCCUUACUUACUUGAUUAAAUGGAACGUGUAUCAUUUCCUAGCCAUUAUACGGAUAUAAUUAUUAUGUCUUAUGGUAUUGGGUUUUGAUGCAAGCUUCUUGAUCAAAGUAUCACGAGUUUGUUAUAUAAUCGCAAACAAAUUCUUUAAUGAGAGAAUGCAUUUAUGUAUUAUUGAUUUAAAAAUUUGGUAUAACUCCAAUUACUCAGGUAUGAUCCAAUUCAAGGACAUUGCCAGGUAGGGAGUUUGACUGGGGCGGUACAUCUCUCAAAUAAUAACGGAGGUGUCCCAAGGCCAGCUCAGUGCGGACAGAAACCACACAUAGAGCAAAAGGGCAAAUGCUGACUUGAUCUCGGUGUUCAGUACACACAGGGACAGCAAAAGCUCGGCCUAUCGAUCCUUUUGGUUUAAAGAGU